UACGAAGGGGGCUAGCGUUGUUCGGAGUUACUGGGCGUAAAGGGCGCGUAGGCGGCGCAUCAAGUCAGGCGUGAAAGCCCUGGGCUCAACCCGGGAAUUGCGCUUGAGACUGGUGUGCUUGAGUACGGGAGAGGAUAGUGGAAUUCCCAGUGUAGAGGUGAAAUUCGUAAGAUAUUGGGAAGAACACCAGUGGGCGAAAGGCGGCUAUCUGGGACCGAGACUGACGCUGAGGCGCGAAAGCGUGGGGAGCAAACAGG
rnacentral:rRNA from 1 species